rnacentral:ncRNA from 1 species
UAAAGAGCGAUGAAAAAGACGAGUACAUAAUUCAUUCUUUAAGUGAGUCAAUGUUAGUGGAAAAUUGGCAGACCCUGAAUUAUCGAAAAACACUUUGAGCUAUUUCACUGAAAUCUUAGUAAGUUGAAACGUCACCGGCACGUUACCACACCGGUAGAGCAUGAUGGUGCUCUAUUGAGUAGGUCUAUGUAAUAGACAAUUUGGGUGGUACCGCGGAAAAAGCCUUUCGUCCCUUGA